ACAUUUUGCCUGCGCCACAGCGCCACCUCAGCAACCCGGAUACCAACGGUUUUGGUAGGGACUCGUGACCAUUUCCAUUAAGCCCUCCACCGUUUCGACACUUCCACUACCCUCCCUCCUUUUCUGCGCUAAACAACACAAAACACACACCAGCUUCAAAGUUGCUUUUCUCUGCAAAACCACGGCAGGAGAUCUUCCUGGGUUUUACUAUGAUGGGAAAAGAACAGGUACUUCCCACUCAAAGGCCCCAUCCCUGCUGUCGUCGUAUGAUUGCUUCUGCUUCUUCCAGCGCUCGGACGCCGGCCAGGGUACGCUGGUUGUUCUGCAUUUGAACUUUGAACCCAAAUUUUGUCCUUUUCCAGGCGAACAAGUGUAAGCACUUCUAAGAUGCUUCAGGCCAGGGAGUUAUGCGGUAAUCUCAUUCUUUCUGGAGGUGUAACUUCAAUGAGGAAUUCCAAAAGGCGCAAGCAUGCCAUCCUGUGGUAUGUUAAUAUAGGCCUUCAGUUUAAGAUUUUAAAGUUAAGUUUACCAAUUACCACGUUAUGAUUUCCACCAAUUUGUUUCCAGGUUUUACUUUCAGCUUGAUUAGUGCCCUAAUUCAUACUGAAAUUUUUUUUUGUUCUUUUUUUUAUAUUACGAAUAGUAUAUCGUUAUUAGACGUAAUAGCAUACAUUUAAUUUUCAAAAUUUUACUGUAAGCCUCUGUGGGUCUCUAUUUGGCAUGCAGGGCCAAGUUUAGAAUCCAGCAACAUAUAGGUUGCAGCAGGAAACUUGCAACGUAUAGGUUACAGCAGGAAACUUGCAACAAAUGACGGCAGGAAAUUGUAAUUUUGUUUUAUUUAGGUGUUCUAUGAAUUGCAGGUUUGGAAGUAUCAGGAAACAAAAGAGUUAAGUGAUGAUGCUAUGGGGCGGAUUCGCAUGAAUUGCAGGUGAAGCUUUACCACCAACGGCUAAUCCAAAGAGGAGCUGUACAAUCUUACGAGGUGCAUGUGAAUUCCGAUACUCGUUUGCUGCUUGGAGUUGACCCAUCUGAGAGAUUUGUCAUGUCAGGCCGAGAGGACCGCAAUUUACGACUUUGGAGUAUUAAGUCUGGUAAACUGCUUUUCGAGGAUAAAUUCUGUAACACAAUCCCCUCAACCGUGUGCUGGCGAAGAGCUGAAAGGUUUAAGGGAGAUCAGGAUGACAGGCCAAAUUAGGAAUGCCUUGAUUCCAAAAGUGAUGGUUUGGAUCACAGGAAUGACUGUUUUACAUGCACUGACAAGUGUGAAGGGUGGAAAAAUGCUCUCACGAAAAUUUUACAAAUGUGCAAAGCUUGGGAUUUCUUUCUACAGUGAUGCUCGAGUGUAGCAAACUUAAUGCUCACCAUGCCGAAGGCAUUUAUGGGCUCAAACGCAAAGCAACGCUACUGUGAGGAGAAAUAAGAAGGCGCGAUUGUUGGUCUUUGCCUUCCGAGGAGUUUUGUUUUUAUUUCCUUAGUAAAGAUACAAACAGGUGGAUAGUGAGUCUGAAAAUAGUACUUGUGUCGAGGUCUGUAUCUCAGUUGUUUAAGAGUAUUUACCGCACACUUAGGCCAAAGUUUGAAUCCUCACUCUUUGCCUUUGGUCUCCCUUAACACCAAGUGUAACAAAGAAAGUACUUCAUAAAAUGAUUGUGAAAUUUAGUAAAGUGACAAUGGUAAUUAUCA